rnacentral:rRNA from 1 species
GACGAACGCUGGCGGCGUGCUUAACACAUGCAAGUCGAACGAAGUGGCGAACGGGUGAGUAACGCGUAAUCAACCUGCCCUUCAGAGGGGGACAACAGUUGGAAACGACUGCUAAUACCGCAUACUGAAGGAGGGGAUUGCGUCUGAUUAGCUGGUUGGAGGGGUAACGGCCCACCAAGGCGAUGAUCAGUAGCCGGGCUGAGAGGAUGAACGGCCAAAUUGGGACUGGGACACGGCCCAGCAUCCUCCGGGAGGCAGCAGUGGGGAAUCUGUCGCAAUGGACGAAAGUCUGACGGAGCAAAGCCUCGUGAGUGAUUACAGCCUUCGGGUUGUAAAGCUCUGUUAAUCGGGACGCGGUACCUGAAUAGAAAGCCACGGCGAACUACGUGCCAGCAGCCGCGGUAAUAC